CUGCGGAGCGCCGGGCGUGGAGGCACGCGGUGUCAUGGCAAGGAGGUUUUCAGUGGUGUCGAGUACAUUACACAUUAAGCACUUCAUGAAAGGACCAUCACAAGUAGAAGAAUACUUGGUACACACACUUGGAUUUUCCUGAAAGCCUUAGUGGCAUGAACAGUUUCUAGUAAUGGGAACGUGACAUGUCCUGAAGAAAGAUUUCCUCGCAACAGGAAAUAGAGGAAAACGUGUUUUAUAGAAAACAAGGAGGAACACGUGCUUUUGGCUUAUUCAGUGAUGAAUUGGAACACUUCAUCAGAACUGCCCAACAAAUGUGGAUGAUGUAACCAGAAGGAAGUGUAACACCUGAAGAAACAUGGUGGCUUGGAGUGGGAUGCUGUGCUUUUAAAAGCCUGCUGGAACAGCUGCAAUUUUGUUAGAUACUGUCUUCAGAAACUACGUGUAGACAAAAAUUACUGUCUCUGCAUAUUUAAAACAUCGUCUUUCCAAAAUACUGAACUGUCUUCUCUAGGAAGUGUAGCAGUAAUAUUAGGGAAGGGGCUAUUGAGCUUCAGUGCAUGGAAGACCCCUUGAUUAUUUACUGUUUUAAAAUACCAUAUGGGUACACAGUCUUGCAGAUACUGGAGAUCUGUGAUAACUCAAGAGUGGAGCUCACAGGCAGGCCCUGUAAAGACAAGGUGAAAGCAAAGAAAAAGACAAUGUCCACACCUUGAAUCCCUGUAUCUAGUGAGGGAGUAAGGAGUUGGGGUUUCGUGGAACUGCCCUUUGAGGAAUACACUGGCAACGGUACUUGCUUGCUCUCUGGGGAAAAGAGGUUGGUAGGGGGAAGAGAGAGCUACAUAUGUGUGAACUUGGGCUUUGAACAGUGGCUUGAAAAGUACUGGUGCUGUAAUCACAGUAGGAGCAUAUUUGCUGUAUUCAGCAAACUGUCCCUUCCACAGAGGAAUGAAAGAUUAUAAAUUGGUCACCAGGUAAAUUUAAAGACAACUCAUGGUGUACAUAAGAUGAAAUUUGCCUUGAAGCGUGACUUUCAAGCCUUUUUGUCAGGAAUUCUUUAUAAAGGCAGAAACAUGGAGAAUAGCAUAAUUUAAAUCAUGCUGUCAAAUUCAUAGACCAUUACUGAGUCAUUUUGAAAUUGUCUGAAAUAGAUAAAGCAGCCCUGUAGCUCAUAUGGUGUACCUGUUUGUCAGUGACAAAUUCCAUGUAAAGUCCAAUUUUCUGACAGAGUAGUAUGAACUAUAAACACUACCAGGAGCAGCACAUAAAGCAUUGGAAAUGUCAAAAAAAUACGUAUCUGUCAGGCUACUGAAGUGUGGGUCCUAAGGAUCUGACUGAACUCCAGGAGUGCAUUGGCUUACUGAGCAUCUCCUAUGGUUUGCUUAUUAAGCAGCAGCCAGCUACUCUGGCUAAAGGCUCCUCCUUUUGAGCAAGGAAUGAUAAAUCAGUCUAUUGAAUAUCCAGAUCUGCAGAUACAAACUGGAAAACUGGUUUCUCUUCAUUGCUUUCAAUAAUACUUAUUUCUGAUAACAAAUGUUACUGAGAGUGGUGCAUAUUUUUCAUCUGCCGUGUUUUGUACAUUUUUUUGAAUAAAGAUAAGAAUGUUAAAGUCAUGGCUAUUGCACAUCAGCUGUGGAUCACACCACAGUGUUCCUUGACUGCCUGUACUUCUCAAGAGCUGUGGAGGCAAGGCGGCCUUGGGCUGACUGGUGCAGCCUGUACUGCGCACACGAGGCUUCACGUUGUGCUUGAUUGACUCCAGGAUAAAAACUACUGGCUGUGUACUCCAGAAAUGGAAAGGAGGACAACCUUUGAGCUAUCAUCUGGAGCAUGAAUGAGUUAAACAGGAAAAUGGUAAUUUCAGAUGAGUGGGGUACACAUGGAGGCUUUAUGUGCUAUGUAAAUACAUGUCUGAUGAUUUGCAUUCUCUUAUUUUUUGGUGUUACAACCAGUUCUACAAGCAUUUUUGCUUGUCUGCCCUUGUAUUUCCCUCAGAGAAUAUAAACUGGAAAAGUACAAUUAGAAUGAUGAAUUCUGUUUCCUCUCAAACAUCAUGUGGCUUUUUAGCUGAUAGUCCAGUUGAGCUAUCAGGCCAUGAAGACAGUACUUCUCUGCCAUUGUCUCGAACUUCCUGCAGGCUCCGGAGGACAAAGUGGUGUUUGAUGCUCAGAAGAAUGGCUGUAUUGAGUGGGACAAAGUCUGCCUCGUUCAGUAUUCUAUCUGAGGAAGACCAGUAUAAGGAACAGAAGUAUAGAGAGCCCUUCCAGCAGUUUUCUUGGGAAUUUCCUGAGAUUUUCUUUUGUAUUUGAAUACUACUUUGCAAUUAUGACCUAUCUCCAUUUAAAAAUAUUUGAGACAUGAAUGAUGUGUGGGCUGUAAAAUACAUGAAGUAGUUAAUAAGUGUAGGGAGGGUAGGACUGGGAGAGGGCUGAAGUAAAAGCUUUUAUUUUUCCUCUUUUUGAAGCUGAUGUCACUUUUGAUUCUCAUGUUACUGAAAACAGUGGUAAGUGAAGUUCAGUGAAGGCCCUGGUGCUAGGACAGUCUUGCUAGGACAGUUUAAUUGAGCUGUGUUGAGAGUGAAAAUUUGAAGUACUGGUGUGUGCUCUUACCCCUGAGCUACACUUCAGGCUUCUCAUCAGACCAAUAAACACUGCCUUUUCCCCUGAAACUGGAGUUGUCCCUAACUGAAGGAGCAACAAUAGUACUAGUUUUAUAGUGGCAGGUGAAGAAUGAUUAAUAUCUGUCCCAAAAUGAAAUGGGGUUUUGUUUUGUGGGGUUUUUUUGUUGUUGU